AAUGAGUGUUUCUUCUCGUUGUUCUGUGCUCCUGUCCUGCACCAUAAGAGCAUGUUCCAGGUCAUCAUGUUCUUUUGACCAGGCUCCGGAAUGAGAGAUGCUUGGAGCUGACCUGAACUGGACCUCUAGAAGCAGAGAUGCUGAGAACAUCUGCAGAUACAUGAUGGAUUGAGCAGUCCCUGAGUCAUAUACUCUACCAGAGAAUGAAUGAUGUCUGGUAAAUAAGCUGAUGAAUCUGACACAUAAAAGUACUGAGGGCCCAGUCAAGGCAAUAUCACUGGCUGUGAAAUGCUGAAGAGAAUCAGUUGAAAGAGAAAGAAGAAUGAAUUGGAAAAGCAAAUACUUCUGUGUUCUACUGUCAAAGGUGAUGCAUUCAAAUAAGGGAUGUUAUGACAGAAAAAACAAAUCUUCCUCAACUUGUCCACAUCAGUUCCAUUCCUUCAUUUAUAGGGAAGCUUGAGGAAUGUUUAGUGAAAUGCUGGCAAAUAGAUUUCAAGAGAAAGUCUAAUUAGUAAUGUUUUUUCUUCUAAGGUAAGUAGAGAAAAAAAGGUAAUUAUGGAAACCCCAAGUUUCGUUCUCAAAUUUAAGCCCAACUUAAAUAUAGUUUAAGGUCUUUCUUCCUUUAAACUCACCACUCUUACUGCUUUUUGAUUUUGUAGUGGUU
rnacentral:lncRNA from 1 species